rnacentral:rRNA from 1 species
GACGAACGCUGGCGGCGUGCUUAACACAUGCAAGUCGAACGAUGAAGCCGGAGCUUGCUCUGGUGAAUUAGUGGCGAACGGGUGAGUAACACGUGAGUAACCUGCCCUUGACUCUGGGAUAACUGCUAGAAAUGGUAGCUAAUACCGGAUACGACCCUCGGAGGCAUCUCCAGGGGGUGGAAAGAAUUUCGGUCAAGAGAUGGACUCGAGGCCUAUCAGCUAGUUGGGGAGGUAACGGCUCAACAAGGCGACGAUGGGUAGCCGGCCAGAGUGGGUGACCGGCCACACUUGGACUGAGACACGGCCCAGACUCCUACGGGAGGCAGCAGUGGGGAAUAUUGCACAAUGGGCGCAAGCCUGAUGCAGCAACGCCGCGUGAGGGAUGACGGCCUUCGGGUUGUAAACCUCUUUUAGUAGGGAAGAAGCGAGAGUGACGGUACCUGCAGAAAAAGCACCGGCUAACUACGUGCCAGCAGCCGCUGUAA